rnacentral:rRNA from 1 species
UUAUAGCUUGCUGCAAGGGUAAUUAGUGGCAGACGGGUGAGUAAUGCAUAGGAAUCUACCCAAUAGUAUAGGAUAGCCUCUGGAAACGGUGGGUAAUACUGUAUAAUCCCUGCGGGGGAAAGAUUUAUCGCUAAUGGAUGAGCCUAUGUUAGAUUAGCUAGUUGGUGGGGUAAUGGCCUACCAAGGCUUUGAUCUAUAGCUGGUCUGAGAGGAUGAUCAGCCACACUGGAACUGAGACACGGUCCAGACUCCUACGGGAGGCAGCAGUGGGGAAUAUUGGACAAUGGGCGCAAGCCUGAUCCAGCUAUGCCGCGUGAGUGAAGAAGGCCUUAGGGUUGUAAAACUCUUUCAGCAGGGAAGAUAAUGA